rnacentral:lncRNA from 1 species
AAUAGUGCAGCAUGCGGGCAGUCAGUCUCUAGGCAGCAAGUCGGAUUCAGCCACUGUGGAUUUCUCUGGUCUUAGGAAGUACAUCUGGAUUUCCCAUUACUAAUGAUUUGAGAGAAGCCAGGGAUGAGCCCAGGUCUUGUGAGAACUCUGUUCUCUCCCUGGAAUGGACGAAGGCAUCGUAGGGGACAUCAGAAGAGGGUGACGAUGGCCAGAGUUGGCUCAGGGAGUAAGCCUUCAGCAUCCAGGGCAGACAAAGGGCGGUAACUGUUGGUGACGGGCUCUUUGUCAGCUGUGGUCUCUGUGGAAACAAGGUGAAAUGGGAAACAGCAUAUUUUAGUAUUUAGGCUGCAAAUUCAUCAGAAGUGAAAAGCCUGGUGCUGUGUCUACAUAUUAGAAAGCAACAUCUUGCAGAAUUACCACAGAACCAUUUCCUCUAGACACCACAUUACAGAAUAAAUAGAGAUAAUUAGAAAUAGUCAAUGUGCUAAUUUUUCAGUAUUUGUUUAAUGCAACUGCACAUUGGUGCCUUUAUUGUGCUUGCCAUCAAAUUGCCCUAGGGUACCAUUCUCAGAGGCAAAGGCAGAUGAUGUUUCAUGUUAGUUUAUUUUCUGUAGCUCUCCCAGUAUUGGACGUGAAGUGGUUCAACAGGAAUGCUUUCCAGGAAAGAAGCCACCACUGCGAACCUGCUAACAGGGAAACACAUUGGGUCACCCUUCUGUCAGGAAGUUAUUCUUCCUGCCAAAGAGGGAAUUUAAAAUCCUCAUGUCUGUCCACAGAGAAUCAAUAUUGGCCCAGAAAGAAGAGUUACCUAUGAGGAAGACAGAAGGAAUGAUGGUACAAUUAGUCAAGCUGUCCUUUAGCAUCUUGCUGAACCUAAAGGAGGGAAUCAGAGUUUUUUAUGGAAAUCUAUUGGUAAACUCAGUACUUCGAGCAUUUUUGGUACAAGCAAAGACUAAAAGCUAUCUGAGUAUAAUUGUUGGGAGUCUAAAGCGACAGAGGGGACAUCAGAGAGCAGAUUGUCUUGGAUACACAAGAGAGUUCCCAGAACUUGGAAGAAGAGAAAUCCCAGCUGGGCCAGCACCUUUCCCUUGUAUAUUCUGGUUAAGGGUCAUCAGCAUUUCCUUGGUGACAGGAUCGGAGGCAGAUUUCAGAACUCACUGUGUAUCUUUUCAGCAUGUUGAAUAAACUGCGUAUUGUUCUCUUUCACACUGCUUUUUC